UAUCCUUACAAGUUGUCAAACCUGCAUAAGUACGAUGAUUGACGGAUCAACUUGUCAAAUCACUAUUUUUUAUAUGUUCCAGCUGAUUUCACCAUGGCACACACAACUUUUAUCCGCAAUUGCAAAGCAAAUCUGAAGCCAAAUGGUUGGCGUGCAUAUAUGGAAUUUUGACGCCAUCGUGCGUUAGCAAUUCUGAACGCUAUUAGCAGGUGGCGUAUUUUCUGUGAGGCAAAUUCUCUCAUGCCCAAUACUCCAUCCACCCCGGAGUAUUAGCUAAGGCCGGAACCAGAAUUUAGAUCACUAAUGUCUAAAAUUGUCGAAGAUCUAGGAAGGAUUUCAAGUGAUACUGGCGAGGAAUCGGAGUGACAAACAGAGCAAGGAAUACAUAUCGGAAAUUAGCAGCAAAGGCAGUGAGAUAUUCAGAUAAAAAUCUGCGGCAUUCUGGGGAAAUCCUGUGAACAUUUAUAAUGGACAACACUGUCCAGCAGUGUACAUGUUGAUGUGGAGCCUCAUUUCACUUACAGAAAGGAGGUAGUAUGUUGAUUUGGAGCUUAGUUUACUUCCAGAAAAGAGGUGGUAGUUCACUGACGUUUGUGGAGUGGGAAGGGGUUAUGGGGCUUCUCAUUAUUGGUGACCAGAUCCUUGUACUAUUCUAGGCAUGAUCACCUGUAUCUCCUCUUGUAAUCACCGAUAAUAUUGAUUAGUUUAUUACAUUGAAGCUAGUGAUGUUCAUAUGUUUCUGA